CUCCUCCUGGUGCAUGAUGUGCUUGCUUUUAGACAAUGGUGGGCCCCAAACCAAAAUGGAGUCACAUGUGCUAACUUUUCCUUAACAUUCCUUUAAAAAAAAAAAAGUGAUUUGUCUAAUGUGUAUCUCUUUUUGUUUCAGAACUGAGAAUUCAAUUUUUAAAAAUACUUCCAAAUGUCCUGAUGUAGGAGCAGGGUUAGUACUAGGAACUUGCAAGCCCUAUGAGACCUAAAGUUUGCUAGAGCUCUAGCAAACACCUAUAACCUGUAUAGUACAUCUAGGUGUGUCAGUUUGAAAGCUGGGUGGAGGGUUUGCAUGGGAGACUUUGCAAUUAGGGAAAGAAGGUUAGGAUGCAUUGUAAUUGUGGGGACAAGUCAAAGAUUUUCAUCAGCAAGGAAGGUGGGGAAUGGAGGAUUUUAGCACUUAAAAUGGAGACUGAGCUACUGCAGUUCAUUUUUUCAAGUUGGUGGUGGUCAAAGAGUCAAUGUCAGUUGAGACCACUCACAUAGCAUACAUCAACAACCUCCUCUACCCAAUGUGGGAAAGAGAAUGCUAACAAAGCAAGGCCCUGACAGCUGCACACUUACCACUUACCUUGAGGCCCGCCCUGUGAAUGGAGUUUCCGGGUAUGUCUACACAGCAAAGAAAAACCUAUGGCUGGCUCAUGCCAGCUGACUUGGGCUCACAGGGCUCAGGUUUUCUCAUUGCAGUGUGGCCUUCUGGGCUCAGGUUUUUCUUUGCUGUGUAGGCAUUAGAGUUUGAAAUCUCAUUUGUGCCUAUGAUAUUACAAUCAGAGGAACCAGGCUUUGGAAACCAGGAUAAAUUUUUUCAUCUUGUCCUAAUAUCAUUAGCAAAAAGGACAAAUUAUGCUCUCAAAUGGCUAUGUGUGGUUCCCAACUAAGUUAAUAUGAGCCCCACCUGCACAUGCUAGGGCAGAAUUUGCCUAUUGUCUUAUGGGGGCUAUGUUGAUUUUGUCCUAGUUGCUGUGAAAGAUAUCUCGAGUGAAAACAUGACCAGUGUGUGCAUCCUCAGAAAGCAAUGGUUGAAGCUGCUACCCUGCAUUGAGAUCUAUUUGCCUAUUUUAGGAAUGUCUCAAGUCAUAAUAUCUAUGCACCAAGAUCAGCUCAUACUACCACUCCCAAAAGAAGGGGAUUUCAUUUUUUUAGCUAAUGUAGCUAAAUGUAUCCAUCUGCAAAAGAAAAUAGUUCCAUAUUUACACUUAAAUUUAGAAAUAUCAUUUUUAUUACAUGCCUCUUCUACCUUUAUUUUUCAGACUGCUUGGUACUUUUUCUAUUCUGGAUAUCCAUUAAUAAAGCCUCCCUCCCUAAAACACAAAUACUGCAGCAGAGCUUCAUCCAACAAACCUCUUCAUUACAUCUUGUAUAAAGAGGGAUUUGAUCUAUGAAAAGCUUGAAUGGGCCUGGAAGCUGAGUAUUAUCCUGAUUCAGAAGACAUGAACCAAGCCUAAUAUGGAAGCACCACUUCAAUGCGCUGCUCAGACAACCAGACCUUUUGAUGAAUGUCAGUUGAGAGUACUUCAACACCUCCUAAAAUAGGUAAGGAGAUGUAUCUUUGGACAUUCCAGUGUCCAUUCAGUUUGACACCUGUGUAGCAUUUGGUUUAUAAUCUGGAAUUUUGUAGUGCUACAAAAUAGCUACCUCUAUUGAAAGACUUUUCCUCAGUUUCAGUGUUAAGAGGGUCAUACCUACUUGUGCAGCAAAUAACGCUCUGUACAUUCAGAGAUCUUUCUGUCGGUCAGCUUGAUGCCUGUUCAUCAAGGUGACUAUGAAAAAGAAUCGCAGUGUGACAACACGGUCCAUUACCAGAAAUCAGGUUUUGUUAGACCUUUCUGCUCACUUGGGCUGCAGUUUGUAAUUGCCAUAGUAGUCUGUUGUGAAAUGUCAGCCCAGUAGUACAUCAGAGUCAUCACAAUGGAUUACUCUACUUAGCCACCUCCUAAAGGUUAUUUCUAUGCAGCAAUGCUUUCACAACAAAAAGCAAAAUGUACUAGAGUCAUAAGAAAACAACAUAAUUGAUUCACAUCAGAGAAGACUGGCAAAUAACUUUCAUUUUUCCUGCUUAGCUUGCAAAGAACUUCUUACCACCACCCACGGCUAGUUUAACUCUCCAUGGGAAGAUUUGGAACACUGUGUCAGUAUCUUAUUUUCCUCUGACAUGUUUUAUCAUUUACUAAACCCUCAAAACAGGUGUUACUCUUACUUCAUUCUUCCUUAGAAAUGAUGGGCAGACCCUUCACUAAAGUCAAUGGAGCUACACUGACUUACACCAGCUGUGGAUCUGACCCUGUAGCUUGAGCUGCUCUAAAGGGUUUGGUUUUUUUUAUUGUUUAAUUCCAUCUGAGAACAUAAAGAAACAAAUUGUGAAGAACAUAAAGAAAAAAACUAGAUCCUAAUCAGGGAAUGUGUAGAAUAUAGAUGCUAGAUAGGUAUCCAAGAAAAUAUAGGGGUUGAUUCACCACUGUGGUACACCUGUUUUUCAGUCAGUUACACAGGUGUACAACUGGAGCAACACCGUGGUGACAGGCCCUUUAUAUGCUUUUUUCCUAAUGCUUGACUAAUAUAUAUUCUACACAUUCCCUGAUCACACAAUACAUAUUACGUGGAACGCUGGUUAUAUGAUGAAUAGUAGACAACAUAAUAGCCAAGCCCUGCUCACCUUAUUCAGUGAAACUACUUGUGUGAGGACGGUGAGCAGGAUCUGGCCUUCAUUUUGGAUAGCAUUCUUAAUACAAUCGUUAUUACAAAUAAUCUUCUUCGGGUGUAAACUCCAAAGCUGCUCUCUCACCAACAGAAUUCGGUCCAAUAAAAGAUAUCACCACACCCACCUUGUCUCUCUCCAAAUAAUUUUAUGCAUAUAUAUAUACAGCUUUGUCACUGAAAAGACAAAUCCCAAUAAAAGUUGAUUGCUCCCAACCACGCUUUAAUCUUGAAGUCUUAACUCCAAAGAACACUCCAAGGAGUGUGUAGAACUAUAGCUUAUCCUACUGUACCUUAAAAAUGCUAUAUCUGAGAGGGAAAGUUUUUUUUACUCUUUACAUCACCAUUGGCAAAUUUAAAAACUAACAGAAGCAGUAAAUUGUAUAAAGCUCUGGAUAAAAGUAGUAUCUGGUCUCCCAGUGUGCCCCCUACUGCUUCUACAGGAACAAACUAGAAGUUUUUUGAAAGCUUUUCUGCUGCAAAACCCACAAAUUAAACCAAAAAAAUUUUUUAAAACACAAAGACUUAUAGGGACUAAUCUUGGUCUCAUUGUAGUCCAUGGCAAAUGACCAAUUGAUUUAAAUGGAAGCAGUAGCAGGGCAAACAUUAAAGAAAAUAAACUGUGUUAAUAUUUUUAGUAUUUUUUCUUCAAGUUCUUAAGAGGAUAUUACAGAAAGUAAAUAAAAUAUGAUAAAAGUAUUUUAUACUCUUGUCCCCUUAACAGAAUAGUACUAGGAUAAAUGUAGUCAAAAACCUUGUUAAAAAUGUGCUUUUAAAAAAUGAAGACUGUGUUUUAUUCCAAUGGAAAUUGAUUUAAAUAAACAUUCAUUUUCCCUGUAGGCAAUCCUAGCAUUGAGCUGGUACAUGAAGAUGGAAAGUGAAAUUAACAAGAAACUUACUGAAAAUGUAACACUGGCCAGGCUAUUUUCACUAUCCAAACUGCAAACAGUAAAACAGAAUAAAGCAUAAAACAUAAAUAUGAUUUUACAAUUCUUUCCAUUUUAAUAAUUAAGAAAAACUGAGCACAUAAUGUUGUGAUAACUUUAGUGAUCACUAAAUGCAUGUUUGCUUUUGAUUUUUGUUAUUUUAAAAAAAGAUCACCAUGAAUGUAAUUUGUGUACCAAUAUUUACAGAAAAGGCCGUUACAGUAGUUUGUCAUGAUGGUUGCAUAUGUUUGGGUAAGCUCCUUCUUGUCUCUGUAAGAGUAGCCAUUCAGUAAAUUGGUUUUUCAAGCCUUCCUCUUCCCUCCCUAAUGCUAUAGUUUUGAAAAUCUCAGCCUUGUCUCAUGUGGAUUUGCUAGUGUUUGUUUAGCAGAACUAGAUAGUGAGUCAAAGGCAACAGAAAUUUUCCAAAGUAGGCUCAAAACUUCACUUCUUAAUAUACACACCAUGGAACUUGACACCAAACUAGGAAAGGGGCAAGUAUGUUUUCUCCAGAUGUAUAGCCCGCUGUACAGAAAGGUGUUGAUAGUACCAGGUGUUUAAAAAAAAAAAAAAAAACUGUCUGGAAUGCCCUCCUGUUCCUUAAACACUGUUGGAGAGUCAGAGAAAGAUGUUUAUGGUAAUAAGGGAUUUGAAGCAGGUCCAGUGUCACUCUCCCCAAUUUGGACAGCACUUAGCAAGCUUAAUUAUUUUCAGCUGUGGUUCUUAUGUAAGAGCUUAGUAUUAGUUGUAUCAUAGUACAGUUACAUAGUUGAUUGAAGGAGAUGAGAUGAAAAGCCCUAUGCUGCUCUCAAUGACACCUGUGUAAAGGUAGAGACAUUGCGUUUAAACAGAGUGCAAAGUCUGGCUCUUAAAGCUGAUCCAAGGAAGCACUGGGAAGCUGUAGUUCAUAACAAACCAUCUUAUGUGAGGUGAGAGAUCAGUAUAUCAGAGAAUAAACUGAAGUCUUUGUGCCCUAGGGGGGUACACACUAACCUAGAGCCAUUCGUGGUGGGACUAGAGCCCCAGUCAGUUGAAGUCACUGCAGUCCUAGAAGAGACGAGUGAGUCCCUGUAGUGGAAAAUCAGAGCCCAGCAGGGGCGUUCCUGUCUCCCCGUCUCCUGGGGGCUGGGUUAGUUUGUGCAGGAGCUGCUUUCUCCUCUAGGCUGUAGGGCAGGCGAUGGGUCCCCGGGUGGGCUGUCUGGCUGCGCCGGGGCGGUGCUAGGAGCUGCCGCCCCCUUCUCUUUCGUACCUGCAGCCGGCUGGGGCAGAACAGAGCGCACCGCUCGCCCAGCCCCGCGAGCAGCUGCUAGAAGAGGAGGCGGCCAGUGCACCUUGCCGCGGAGCCGCCCCAGCCGGUGCAGCAGCCGGUCUCCCAGAGCAGGGCACCCCCGGCCAAAGGGGGCGAUGGCUAGUGAUCACUGCCUGGUGCUGCUAGCCGGGCUGCUGCUGUGCAGCCUGGCGGCGCGGCGAGAAGCGCAGCAGGACCCGGACCCGCUUCCUCUCCUCCUGCCCCCGGGACUCGGCGGCGGCGGGCUGCUGGUGGCCGGCAGGGGGCUGCGGGUGCCCUGCGGCCGCUCCGUGGCGCUGGACCCGGCGCGGGACCUGGCGAUCCGCGUGCCGCCGGAGGAGACGUGCGAGCUGACGGCGCUGGAGAGCGAAGAGCCGGGCCCGCCCAGCCCCGGCGCCCUCUCCCCCAGGCGCUUCCCCUGCCGCUUCGGCCCCGGCCAGGUCACCUACACCCACUACGGCGCCCCCCGCCCCGGCCGCUACCGCCUGCGCCUCCAGCUGCGCUCGGGCUCGCCCCGCCGCCCGCGCCUCCUGCCCCUGGCGCUGCCGGUGGAGGUGCUGGCCCGGCCGCCGCGCCUGCUCCGCCGCCACCUGCCGCUGGAGGUGGAGUCGCGGCUGGGGCUCAGCCCGCCCCUGGACGCCAGCGUGCUGGGCUUCCCCGAGGGCCGCUGCCGCCUCACCGCGCGGCCCCCGUCGGACGGCGGCGCCCCCCUGCCCGCCCACGGGCGCCUGGUGGACUCCGACGGGCGCCCGCUGCCCCCCGGCUACAGCAGCGAGUGCGGCCGCUUCCUGCGGGCGGGGAUCCGCUACCAGCACACGGCGGCCGAGCCCUGGCCCCGCCGCGACGCCAUCCCCAUGCGGGUGGAGCUGCUGGCCGGCGCGGAGCCGGAGUACUUCCAGGUGGCGGUGCGGCUGCGGGGCGGCGCGGCCAACGCGGCCCCCUCCCUGGGCUUCGCGGCGCUGCUGGUGGCCGAGGUGGGUCAGUUCGUGCUCACCGCCCUCACCCCCGACAUGCUGGCGGCCGAGGACCUGGAGAGCCCCCCGGACCUGCUGCUCUUCAGCCUCACCGCGCCCUGGCCCAGCCCCAGCCCCGGCGGGCGGGAAGGCGAGGAUCUCCGGCUGCGGGGCUACCUGCUCAGCACCGACGAGCCAGGCCGGCCCCUCACCUCCUUCACCCAGCGGGAGCUGAGGGAGCUGAAGAUCGCCUACCAGCCGCCCACUGUGGACUCGGACCAGGAGCGCAUCUUCCAGAUGGAAAUGAAGGUGCUGGACCCUGAGGGCGCCUCUUCCGAGCCCUUUGCCUUCAUGGUGGUGGUGAAGCCCAUGAACACGCUAGCCCCAGUGGCUACCUUCAGCCAAGCCGCCGGCCCCCAGCUCAUGCUCUUCGAGGGGCAGUCGAGGCCUCUGUCUGGCACUCUGGAGAUAAGCGAUGAGGACAACCUGAGCGAGGUGAAGGUCUGGGUGACACGGGGCCUGCGACAUGGUGAGCUCAGGGUACUGGGCGCGCCACCCGGCCGCAAGUACUUCACAGCAGCCGAGCUGGAGGCUGGGCAGGUAGUUUACCAGCACGAUGGCAGCGAGCACGGCUACAGUGACAACACCGUGUUCCUCAUGGAGGACGGGCAGCACCAGGUGGAGUUUCUUUUUCCCAUCAUCAUCGCCCCUGUUGAUGACCAGCCACCCCUGCUCAACGCCAACACCGGGCUGGUGCUGAGAGAGCACCAGGCUGUCCAGAUCUCACCCUUCGUUCUCAGCGCCACUGACAUUGAUUCUGAAGAGUCGUCUAUUCGCUUUAUACUUCAGAAGGACCCUGAGGAUUCUGCCCACGCCUCACACUCCCACCGCCUGGGUGAGCUUCUCCUGUGCCAGGCAGAGACACCGCCAUCCUAUGAGAGGGAAGAGAACAUGGAGGAGGCUGGUGGUGCUUCCUCUUCAUGGCACUUUGUGGAAAGUGAGGGUGUGUAUGAGAAGGUGGUGAGUGAAUGGCUGCAGCAGGACAUCCUGGAUGGAAGGCUGUUCUACAGGCACACAGGACCCCAUAGCACCAGUCCUGUGAUAGACCAGUUUGUGUUCCACCUCCAGGAUGACAAUGAGCCCCCUAACCAGUCUGGGGAUCAAGUAUUCACCGUCAAAGUGCAACCAGUAGACAAUUUGCCCCCACAGCUAUACCCAGGCACUAGCCUACAGAUGACAGUCUUGGAGUACCAGGUGACCCAAUUCAGAAAGCGCUAUUUGCGCUACACUGACCUGGACACAGAUGACAGCGAGUUGAAAUACACCCUGCUUACACCCCCAACUGACAUAGAUGAGAACCACCCUCUGCUAGCUGGAGAGAUCGUGCUGGCUGACAACCCUCUGGUGUCCAUUACUCAGUUCACCCAAGCCCAGGUCAACCAUCAGAAGGUGGCAUACCGGCCUCCUGACCAGGAGCUGGGUAUCACCCCAAGAGUGGUACAAUUUAACUACAGUGUAGAGGACUCAGCGAGCAACUCUGUGCCAGGGACCUUCACAAUCUUCCUGCAGCCAGUGGACAACCAGCCACCCCAGAUCACCAACAUGGGCUUCACUGUGCUCGAGGGGAGCAGCUUCCUUCUCACCACCAGUCAGUUGGAUGCCACUGACCAGGACACGGACACAGACCAAAUUGUCUUCAUCUUAAACCAGGCACCCCAGCAUGGCCACCUGCGCUACCUGGAGGGGCUGAUGGUCCAGGGAGAAUCUUUCCUGCUAGAUGAUAUUGCCAGUGGGCGUAUAUCCUACCAGCACAGUGGUGAUGAGUCCACCAAUGACUUCUAUCAACUAGAAGUGAGUGAUGGCAUCCACCAUGUGCCAAUCACUGUUAGGAUCACUGUGCAGCCCGUGGACGAUGAAAGGCCUAGCAUCACUCUACCUGGUAGUAAAGGGCUGCUGGGACCCUCUAUUGAUGUGCUAGAAAAUGGUGUCACUGAGAUCACUACUUCCCUUCUCCAGGGCACAGAUGAAGAUACUGAUGAUCUGGCACUGACUUUCUUUGUGAAGGAUCCGCCCAAGCUGGGUGACAUUCUGGUAAAUCAGGUGCCCAUGGAGAGAUUCACCCAGCAAGACCUUAUCAGUGGGACAAUAGUCUAUGCUCACACUGGUGGAGAGAUUGGCCUGAAGAAGAGAUAUGACUCUUUCAAUCUGACCAUCUCUGACCUCUCCCAUGAGUGGGUGGUGGGAGGCAGCACGGUGCAAGGGGUAUGUGUGUCUGUGACUGUGCUGCCUGUGGACAGCACUGCACCUAAAGUGAUUGUGGGGCCCGAGCUGUUCAUUGUCUCAGAGGGAGGAAAGAAAGCUCUGACCCAGCAGCAACUGGAUGUGGAGGAUGUGGAUACACCCAUGGAUGACAUUUUGUGCACCAUCACUGUUCAGUCCACUUCUGGAUACCUGGAGAACAUCUCUCCAGCCCCGGGGUCUGAAAAGUCUAGGGCUGGCACUGCCAUUAGCACCUUCUCUAUCAAAGAUGUUCACCUGGGACAUAUCAGCUAUGUUCAGAGCAUCCACAAGGGGGUGGAGCCCUUAGAGGACAGAUUCACUUUCUGCUGCUCUGAUGGCGUCAACAUCUCCCCACACCACUUCUUCCCCAUUAUCAUCAUCCCUACCAAUGAUGAAAAGCCUGAGCUGUCUGUGCGUGAGUUUGUGGUGCUGGAGGGGAUGAGUCUGGUUAUUGACACGCCCAUCCUCAAUGGCGCCGAUGCUGAUCUUCCCCCAGACCACUUGCACUUCUUCAUCAGUGUUCCCCCCAAGCAUGGGCAAAUUGUGCAGCAGCUGACAACUGGUGCCAUACCCAUCCGCAACUUCACAAUGGAGGAGAUCCAGGACGCCUCCAGCAUUGUCUAUGAGCAUGAUGACUCCGAAAUUAAAGAGGACAGCUUCAAAGUCCAGCUAAGUGAUGGCCAGCACACAGUGGAACAGAAAGUGCUGAUCAUGGUGAUCCUUAUGGAUGAUGAGACCCCUAGGAUGACUAUCAAUGAUGGGCUGGAGAUAGAGAUUGGUGGGUCUAAGGUUAUCACGAACAGAGACCUUAAAGCCACAGACAUAGAUUCAGAAGACAGGAACCUCACCUACAUCAUCCGCUUGGCACCCAGGCAGGGUCUUCUGCAGCAUGUGAGCAGACACGGGGAGCCAUUAGGCAACAUUACAGUGGGCAUGAACUUCACCCAGGAUGAUAUAGACCAUGGUUUUAUCCGUUAUGCUCAUACUGGCCAACAAGGGGUCCGUGACCUGAUUAAAUUUGAUGUCACUGAUGGCAUUAACCCCUUGAUAGACAGAUACUUUUAUAUUACCAUCAGCGGCAUUGACAUAGUCUUUCCUGAGGUGAUUAACAAAGGGGUAACUCUUAAAGAGGGUGGGAAGGUGACGCUCACAACUGACCUGCUCAGCACUAGUGACAUUAACAGCCCUGAUGAGAACCUGCGCUUUGGCAUCACCCGGGCCCCUAACCGAGGGCACUUAGAGAGCUCAGACAAUCCUGGAGUGCCUGUUGCUUCCUUCUCUCAGCUCCAGCUAGCUGGCAAUAAGAUUUACUACAUCCACACUGCAGAGGAUGAGGUGAAGAUGGACAGCUUCGAGUUUGAAGUGACAGAUGGCUAUAAUCCGGUCUUCCGCACCUUCAGGGUCUCCAUUACAGACGUGGACAAUAAAAAGCCAAUUCUGACUAUCAAUGACCUUGUAGUUGAGGAAGGGAAGACCAAACUGAUUACCCCCUUUGAGUUGACUGUGGAAGAUUGGGACACCCCUGACCAUUUGCUCCGUUUCACGGUUACCCAGGUCCCUGUCCAUGGCCGGAUUUUAUAUAACAGCAGCUAUCCUGUGACCAGCUUCACCAAAUUAGAUUUGAAUGAGAAUCUGAUCAGCUAUAGACAUGAUGGUACAGAAACAAGCCAGGAUAGCUUCUCGUUCACUAUGACUGACGGGACCCACACAGACUUUUACGUUUUCCCUGACACCAUUCUGGAGACUCAUCAACCCCAGAUGUUGAAGAUCCAGAUCAAUCCCCUGGACAAUGGGGUGCCACAGUUAGUGGUGAACAAAGGUGCCCCAACUCUGAGAAACCUUCCGACUGGACACUUGGGCUUCUUGAUCACCAGCAAGUCACUGAAGGCAGAAGACCGAGACAGCCCACACAAACUGCUGAAGUACAAAAUCACAGAUAGCCCAGACCAUGGAUUCAUCAUUAAUAUUGGCCUUGGAAAUGAGAGCAUUAAUACAUUUACACAAGCUGAUAUUGAUGAAAUGAAGAUCAGCUAUGUCUUGAAAGAGGGCGAUAGUUCUACCAGUGACAUCAUCUACUUCUCCAUUGAAGACAAUGGAGGAAACAAGCUAAAGGGCCAAUGCUUCCGUUUGAACUGGGCUUGGAUUUCACUGGAGAAAGAGUACUACAUUGUAGACGAGGACUCCAAGUUCCUGGAGGUAACUCUCAAGCGCAGAGGAUACCUAGGAGAGACAUCUUUCAUCAGUAUUGGGACUGAAGAUGGAACAGCAAAAAAGGAUAAAGAUUUCAAAGGGAAAGCUCAGAGACAAGUCCAGUUUAAUCCAGGACAGACCACGGCUACCUGGCGAGUGAGGAUAACCAUAGAUGAUGAAUAUGAAGCAUCUGAAACUUUCCAGAUCAUUUUGUCUGAUCCUAUCAUGGCUGCCCUUGAGUUUCCAGAAAUAGCGACAGUUGAAAUUGUGGAUCCUGGUGACGAAUCUAUAGUGUACAUUCCCUGGCUGGAGUACAGAGUAGAGGAAGAUAUUGGUGAGCUGUUAAUCCCUGUUAGGAGAUCUGGAGAUAUCAGCCAAGAACUAAUGGUCGUUUGUUGCACAUAUCAAGGCUCUGCCACAGGCACAAAUCCCUCCACUGUGUUAUCCUAUUCUGACUACAUCUCCCGUCCUGAAGAUCAUACCAGCAUCAUCCACUUUGAUAAGUAUGAGAGAGAGAAAACCUGUCGCAUCAUCAUUAUUGAUGAUUCCUUGUAUGAGGAAGAUGAGACCUUCAAUGUCACGCUGAGCAUGCCGAUGGGUGGGCAAAUCGGUGCUAAAUUUCCUAGCACCAAAGUGGUAAUCCUGGCUAGCACAGAGGAUGAACCUGCUUUAUACUUCGGCGACACUGAAUAUCGGGUGGAUGAAAGUGCUGGUUACGUUGAAGUUCGUGUCUGGAGAACUGGAACAGAUCUCUCCAAACCGGCCUCCGUCACUGCACGUUCCAGGAAAACGGAGCCAGUAUCAGCAAAGGCUGGAAUUGAUUACGUGGGCAUCAGCCAGAAUCUGGACUUUGCUCCUGGAGUCAAGAUGCAGGCGUUCCGAGUGACUGUCCUCGACGAUCUGGGGCAGCCUGUUUUGGAGGGUCCGGAGACAUUUGAGCUGAUUCUUUGUAUGCCCAUGAAUGCAGUGCUUGGGGUGCCUAGCAAAACUACCAUCUUCAUCAAUGACAGCAUUACUGACUUACCCAAAGUCCAGUUCAAGAAACCAUGGUACACAGUGAAUGAAAAAGAUGGACAGUUAGUGGCUAUCAUUUAUCGUAGUGGUGAUAUUAACCAUAAAUCUACCGUCCGUUGCUACACUCGCCAAGGUUCUGCUCAAGUCAUGAUGGACUACCAGGAGCGACCAAACACAGAUGACUCUGUGGUGGUGUUUCUGCCAGGAGAGAUUGAGAAGCCCUGUGUGGUAAUACUGGAGGAUGAUGCAAUUUAUGAAGAAGAGGAAGAAUUCAGACUAGUGCUUGGAACACCAAAAAGUACCUCAACGUUUGGUGCCUCCAUUGGGGAGCAAAAAGAGACCCUGAUCAAGAUUAAGGAUGAAGAAGACAAACCAGUGAUUAAGUUCUCCAAAAUCAAACACAGCAUUCAGGAGCCUCAGGAGCCUGGAGAGAUUGCAGUUGUAAAGAUCCCCAUUUUACGUCUGGGUGACAGCUCAAAAGUAUCUGUUGUGCGAAUCCACACAAAAGAUGGCUCUGCCACCUCUGGGGAAGACUAUAAUCCAAUGUCUGAUGACACUGAAUUCAAAGAAGGAGAAACUGAACAUAUUGUUGAAGUUGAGGUCUUAUACGAUGGAGUGAGAGAAAUGAGAGAAGCAUUUACAGUCCACUUGAAACCAGAUGAGAAUAUGGUGGCUGAGACACAGCUGAACAAAGCCAUUGUGUACAUCGAAGAAGUGGACAGCAUUGCAGACGUGACUUUCCCAGCUGUGCCCCAGGUUGUAUCGCUCCUGAUGUACGAUGACACUUCUAAAAGCAAAGAGAACCCGCAUCCUCCAGCUGGUUACCCUAUUGUGUGUGUAACGGCAUGUAAUCCCAAGUAUUCAGACUAUGACAAGACUGGGUCUCUCUGUGCUGCUGAAAACAUCAAUGACACUCUGACCCUGUACCGCUGGCUUAUCGGUGCUCCGAGUGGCAGCGACGGUGUCACCAGCCCCCUGCGGGCAAUGGACUCCAACACCUUCUUUACCAACACCAAGUCCAUCUCCCUGGACUCCAUAUACUUCCAGGCUGGAUCAAGGGUCCAGUGUGCAGCACGGGCUGUCAGUGCCAAUGGUGAUAUGGGUCUGGAACUGCUGAGCCCUAUUUACACAGUGAACAGAGAAGACGACAUCAAAACAGCACAGUUACCGACAAUGAGUAGAGAGCAGUGAAGCCUGCUCAGAAGAACCGAAGGACUUCUGAACAUGGGAACAUUUAGAGAUCUACAGACCAGGGCUGGUUUAAGCAUAGGCGCUGUAGGUCUAUGCCCAGGGCCUCAACUCCUCAAGAACAAUGUGGCUGAUUAGAUCAGAAUCUCUGUUUUCAGUUUUUUAAAGCAUGUCUUUGUCAACCUCGGAUCCCAGGAACGGUUGGAGCAGAACCUUUCUCAGCCAAGAUUCGCUACGUGGGUCCAGAUGAUCCUGAUUACCCCAACCUGAUCAAAUUAACAGUUACAAUGCCUCAUAU